AAAAGUGAAAACUGAGACUUGACAUUUUCCAAAGGGUGCCACAAAGCUAUCCAGGGGUGCCUCAAAGUCUAAAAAAGAUUUGAGAACUACUGCCUUAAGACAUGCAGUUAGUCAUGCAGCCUGUGUUAGCCCAGGGUAGAGCAGAUAGGAUGUUUCAACACAGUGCUGUGGAAAGAAAUGACAGGACCCUGUGAAUGGUAACCACAUUAGUACAUUUAUAAGGUUUUGGGAUGUUCUUGGUUUUUACAGUUCGGCUGGGGAGUAUUCAUAGACAUUAACAGUCUUUACUGGUCUAUGGUGGGUGGGUGUGUAUUGGGGGUGAGGAGAAUUAGGUGGGAUGUUCAGCCUGUCUCCUCACUUUAACUUCUAGUAUCUAGUGGAUGGUCUCAACCAGCUGUUUUUAUGUACUAGUCUGCCUAUUCCAAAUGGAGAGUGUAAGAAAGCAAAACUCAUGAGAGUAAUUUGUGCCACUGCAGACUCCUUGCAAGGCAGCACAAAUGUUAACUGGUACAGGUUAACAAACCACUUUUAAUUCAGCUGGAGGAAAAAGUUUGAUUGUGCUCCAGUAAGACUGGCUUCAGAUAGAACUACAGGAUGGUCUAUUUUGCUCCCAGAAUAUAACUAACCCUUAGCUGUAACGUAAUUAAAUUUAGGACAAGAGAUGUCUUUUCAGAAUCUGGUUACUCAUAAAUUUGUUUCCCUUGCAUUUAAAUAAAAAUCUAGAUCUUCAUGCAUCAUAAUGAAAUAAAAUUGAGUCUAUUAUUGGAUCUUUUUCUUUUUGUGGAUGACCUUUUAGUACUCAAUGUAACAGUAAAAUAGCCUUUUAAUGUCACUGAGGGCAUAGUAGCCAAAAAAUUGUACCAUAUGCAGACACAAUUACAACCAAGUCAAAGGGCCUGGUUUCACUCAUUUGAAUGAAUAAUAAAAACAUGUUUCUCAAUUUGAUUCGAGUCCUGGAUGUAUCUAGGUCCUACUGAUAUUUUUAAGUAGCUCUUUCCCUAUAGCUGUUUGGGAACUUUGUGCCAAAACAACUUAGAGAGGAAGAAAAAUAGUAAACUGUGACUGAGAAGAAACUUGCUCCCCCUUUUGCUAUUUAGUUUAUGGAAGAAGCAAGGUUUUCUUUUUUUCCUAGAAACUAAAAGGGGAGUUUGAAUUAUACUUGCCAGAAGCCAAGAAGAGGGUUUCUGUGGAGGGUUUCUACACUGGUAGAAGUCUGUCAACUUUCUCCCUUAAUUUUGUGGUGAGAAACUGGACACUUAGACUUCUUAUAUGAAUUGGCAUUUGUUUAUUAGCUCAAGUUUGAUUGUACUUAAAUACAUAGAACUAUUGGUUUCUUUUCAGACUUCCAGUUCUACAGGAGUGUAUUUAUAAUUGAAAGUUUUAAUUGCUUUUUUAUGUAGUCACAUUUGGAGUAGCUAAAUUAUAUAUUAAGGAGCAAACUAGAGCAUAAAUCAAAGGUGUAUUUUAUUUAGUCACUGCCAGAAAGCUGACGCAUCUCUUGUUUCUUUUUAGGGAUGUCUUGCAUUUUUCCUCCAGUUUAAAAGAUGUCUACUUCUAGUAUUGCAGCAAGAGUGCAAACCUGGCUUUCAUCUACAUGGCAUGUUAAAGUUCCUGUGACAUGGUUAGAAGCUUGCAUUAACUGGAUCCAGCAAGAAAGUGGCAGUGAUAAUUUAUCACAAGCUCAAAUAAACAAACAAGUGUUUGAGCAGUGGCUCCUUACGGAUCUUAGAGAUUUGGAAUAUCCUGUUUUGCCUGACAGUAUCUUAGAUGCUCCUAAAGGAGAACUCUCUGGCUUUUAUUCCAUACAGAUUGAUUCAUUGGUUGAUGUCAGCCAGCCUGCAUAUUCCCAAUUGCAGAAGAUAAGAGGGAAAAGCACCCUAAAUGAAGAAGUAACAGCCAACAGUCAGGCAUCCCAAAAGACCUGGGAAGCAAAGCCUACUCGAAUGCUAAUGCUGCAGCUAACUGAUGGAAUACAUCAGAUUCAGGGUAUGGAAUACCAACCAGUUCCUGUUCUCCAUAGUGGUCUUCCUCCGGGUACAAAAAUUAUGGUGCAGGGUAACAUUGCAUAUCAUCUUGGAGUUCUCUUGCUUAAACCAGAAAAUGUGAAAUUGCUAGGGGGUGAAGUGGAUGUUCUUCUACAGGAGUACAGUCAGGAAAGACUCCUUGCAAGAUUGAUUGGAGAAGCUGAGAAUCCUAAUCCUGUUGAACAACGUGAUCGUGAACAAGUUACUGCAGGACCUAUAGAUAAGUUGGGCCAAGCUAUAGGGCCUUCAGAUGAAGAGCUUUUAGCAAGUCUUGAUGAAAAUGCAUUUUCUGUAAAUGUUGAGACAGCCUUAGAAAGUGGAUAUUGUAGUAGAAGUGACCAUUCAAACACAACCACACAUUCACUUACUUCAAGCAGUGGAAGCUGUUCACAACAAAGAUUUGGGAACCCUUUGCCUGGGGCAAAUAAAGAGCCAAGUGUUCUGGCUGUGAAGUAUGUUGAUGGAGGUUUAGAUGACAUUGCAUUAGAGGAGGCUUUAUUUUUAGAAGAAGAGAUCCAACAAGAGCUAGAAGAAAUUCAGAGAGUGCAGCCUCUGGUCAAAGACAGAAAUGUAUCUGUAAUUACAGAACAACUUUCAAAUAUGCCUAGAACCUCAUGCAUUUCAUCUUUAAAUUGCAUGCCUGAAAAAGAUGGUAAAAAUGAAAGGGUUUAUAAACUUGCACAAUGUACUAGGGAACAUCAGUUUUUGGGGAGAGAAUUAUCUGUUGGAAGCAAAAGUAAUACAAAUAAUUUCUCACUACAGCAUAACGUACAGCAGACCCAUAACUUUACAGAUGAUUUGUCAUUGGAAAAUCCUUUUGAACAGGAGGCUUUUAGAAAAGUGGACCUAGUCAAGAGUGUUCAGAAACCUCAUAGCUUUUCUGAUGACAUACUUUUGACCAAUGGACAAGUUAACUGUUCAAAAAAUGAACCACAGCUUGAGAAGCAGGAGCACAAUGUAGAAGCCUUUUCUUCCAAAGCAACAGAAAACUGUAGAGGUCUUGAUUUACAUUCUCCACCUUUUACGUAUAUUACUGUGCUCUUUGCAAAUAAGCCAGAAACAGUUACAACUGUGAAACUUAAAGCCUUCAUUGUAACCCUUACUGGAAAUCUUACAAGCAACAAUGGUUUCUGGAGUGUUCUGGCAAAAAUUUCUGAUGGUACUGCUUACCUAGAGGUAAAUUUUGCUGAUGAAAUUCUAACCAGUUUGAUUGGAUUUUCAGUGCCUGAAAUGAAGAUGUUAAAGAAAGAUCCUGCUUUACAUCCAAAACUUAAGGAUGGUUUACAGCGAUGCCAAAGAGAACUAAUAGAUCUUUGCUGUUUGAUGACUGUUGAGUUUAACCCCCAUGAGUCAAAAGCAACAGUGUUAUUUCUCCAUGAAGUUGAUGCAGUAGAUCUAGAAAAUUUGAAGAAACGUUUAAACAAAUGAUUUAGGGGAUAACUCAUAUUUUCUAGGACUAAAUUCUACAAGCCAAGGAAUACUAAAGUGUUAGCUUAAUUAAAAGCACAAGUAAAGUGACUUCUCCCUUCCCUCCCUUUACUUCAGAAAGGGGCAGGUAGAAAAAUCUGGUGAGGGGGAGGUGAACAGAAAUCCAUGCCUUAGGAUAAAGGGGCCUGAUGGUAGAAAUAUAGAUGUUUAAUGGUUAGAGCUUCUGCACUGGGAAGAAGCUUUUGUUUCUCUGAAAGCAGCAUUGAUGGAUCAUUGAUAACUAAAAAAAAAUAAACUUGAAAAAAACUUUUAAAAGAAACUGACCAAAUCUGUCAUAUGUUGCCUGAAUAAAACAGCAUUUUAAAAAUGUAAUAAAGCUAAUUACAGGAUGCUGUCUGCAAUCAGUAUUAAAAACAAAUGUCUUUAUGAGUUAUCUUUCAAAAAUAUUUCUUCUGAAAUGGAUAUUUCUUAUAGAAAUAAUGUUAUUUAAGCAUUGUUUGCCUAAUAUUAAAGACUGUUCUACAUUGACAAAAACUGAACUAUAGUAAAAAAAAAAAAAAA